AAGGAAUAUUGGUCAAUGGAGGGAACUCUGAACCAGCCAUGCCGCGUGCAGGAUGACUGCCCUAUGGGUUGUAAACUGCUUUUAUCGGGGAAUAAACCUACGUUUGUAAACGUAGCUGAAUGUACCCGAAGAAUAAGGAUCGGCUAACUCCGUGCCAGCAGCCGCGGUAAUACGGAGGAUCCAAGCGUUAUCCGGAUUUAUUGGGUUUAAAGGGUGCGUAGGCGGUUCUUUAAGUCAGAGGUGAAAGACGGCAGCUUAACUGUCGCAGUGCCUUUGAUACUGAAGAACUUGAAUGCGGUUGAGGAAUGCGGAAUGAGACAAGUAGCGGUGAAAUGCAUAGAUAUGUCUCAGAACCCCGAUUGCGAAGGCAGCAUUCCAAGCCGUUAUUGACGCUGAUGCACGAAAGCGUGGGGAUCGAACAGGAUUAGAUACCCUGGUAGUCCACGCCCUAAACGAUGAUAACUCGAUGUUGGCGAUAGACAGUCAGCGUCCCAGCGAAAGCGUUAAGUUAUCCACCUGGGGAGUACGCCCGCAAGGGUG
rnacentral:rRNA from 1 species